rnacentral:rRNA from 1 species
UACGUAGGGGGCAAGCGUUGUCCGGAUUUAUUGGGCGUAAAGAGCUCGUAGGUGGUUCGGUAAGUCGGAUGUGAAAUCUCCAGGCUCAACCUGGAGGGGUCAUUCGAUACUGCCGUGACUAGAGGUCGGUAGGGGAGUGUGGAAUUCCUGGUGGAGCAGUGAAAUGCGCAGAUAUCAGGAGGAACACCCGUAGCGAAGGCGGCACUCUGGGCCGAUACUGACACUGAGGAGCGAAAGCGUGGGGAGCGAACAGG